UUUGGGAUCUGCCUCCUGAUUUUUUUUUUUUUUUUUAAUAAUUUGGCCAAUUCCUUCGCCUCUCUCCCUUCCUACAGAUGCUGGGAACUUAGAAUAUGGGAGAGAGGAGGUACCAGGCAGAGGCUGCCUGGCCUGGGACACAUCCUCAGUGGCAGACUGCAGGACAGAGAGACAGCAGUCCAGCCUCUACCUACAGGACUCACAGGGGGCAGAGGAACGUGUUUAAUGACAUCACAAGGGAAAAGGCAGCCAGAUCCUGAAAGUGGAAAACUCCAUGGGAUGAGUGACCUCAUUCCUUCCACAAGUGAACAGCAUCACAAUAAAGGUGAUGGGCGUAAGGGAGACAUUAUAGAAGAGACUUAAGAAAUGUAUCUGCCAAAGUAGAGUAGGGAUCUUGUUUGGAUCCUGAUUUGAACAAACCAACUCUAAAAGACACCUUUGAGACAAUGGGGGAAAUGUAAUGCAGAUAUGGGUAUUACAUAA
rnacentral:lncRNA from 1 species